UGAGACACCAAAACGUUGCCACAGUGA
rnacentral:piRNA from 1 species